rnacentral:rRNA from 1 species
AUUGAACGCUGGCGGCAGGCCUAACACAUGCAAGUCGAGCGAGCGGCGGACGUGUGACCAAUGUCUGGGACACUGCCUGAUGGAGGGGGAUAACUACUGGAAACGGUAGCCAAUACCGCACACCAUCACUUGUGCCCAGAGGGUAUUAGCUUGGAGGUGGGGUAAUGGCUCACCUAGGCGACGAUCCCUAUCUGGUCUGAGAGGAUGAGCAGCCACACUGGGACUGAGACACGGCCCAGACUCCUACGGGAGGCAGCAGUGGGGAAUAUUGCACAAUGGGCGAAAGCCUGAUGCAGCCAUGCCGCGUGUAUGAAGAAGGCCUUAGGGUUGUAAAGUACUUGCAGUCGGGAGGCGUUACCGACAGAAGAAGCACCGGCUAACUCCGUGCCAGCAGCCGCGGUAAUAC